rnacentral:rRNA from 1 species
AGAGUUUGAUCAUGGCUCAGAUUGAACGCUGGCGGCAGGCCUAACACAUGCAAGUCGAGCGGUAGCACAGAGAGCUUGCUCUCGGGUGACGAGCGGCGGACGGGUGAGUAAUGUCUGGGAAACUGCCUGAUGGAGGGGGAUAACUACUGGAAACGGUAGCUAAUACCGCAUAACGUCGCAAGACCAAAGUGGGGGACCUUCGGGCCUCAUGCCAUCAGAUGUGCCCAGAUGGGAUUAGCUAGUAGGUGGGGUAACGGCUCACCUAGGCGACGAUCCCUAGCUGGUCUGAGAGGAUGACCAGCCACACUGGAACUGAGACACGGUCCAGACUCCUACGGGAGGCAGCAGUGGGGAAUAUUGCACAAUGGGCGCAAGCCUGAUGCAGCCAUGCCGCGUGUAUGAAGAAGGCCUUCGGGUUGUAAAGUACUUUCAGCGGGGAGGAAGGCGAUAAGGUUAAUAACCUUGUCGAUUGACGUUACCCGCAGAAGAAGCACCGGCUAACUCCGUGCCAGCAGCCGCGGUAAUACGGAGGGUGCAAGCGUUAAUCGGAAUUACUGGGCGUAAAGCGCACGCAGGCGGUCUGUCAAGUCGGAUGUGAAAUCCCCGGGCUCAACCUGGGAACUGCAUUCGAAACUGGCAGGCUAGAGUCUUGUAGAGGGGGGUAGAAUUCCAGGUGUAGCGGUGAAAUGCGUAGAGAUCUGGAGGAAUACCGGUGGCGAAGGCGGCCCCCUGGACAAAGACUGACGCUCAGGUGCGAAAGCGUGGGGAGCAAACAGGAUUAGAUACCCUGGUAGUCCACGCCGUAAACGAUGUCGACUUGGAGGUUGUGCCCUUGAGGCGUGGCUUCCGGAGCUAACGCGUUAAGUCGACCGCCUGGGGAGUACGGCCGCAAGGUUAAAACUCAAAUGAAUUGACGGGGGCCCGCACAAGCGGUGGAGCAUGUGGUUUAAUUCGAUGCAACGCGAAGAACCUUACCUACUCUUGACAUCCAGAGAACUUUCCAGAGAUGGAUUGGUGCCUUCGGGAACUCUGAGACAGGUGCUGCAUGGCUGUCGUCAGCUCGUGUUGUGAAAUGUUGGGUUAAGUCCCGCAACGAGCGCAACCCUUAUCCUUUGUUGCCAGCGGUCCGGCCGGGAACUCAAAGGAGACUGCCAGUGAUAAACUGGAGGAAGGUGGGGAUGACGUCAAGUCAUCAUGGCCCUUACGAGUAGGGCUACACACGUGCUACAAUGGCGCAUACAAAGAGAAGCGAACUCGCGAGAGCAAGCGGACCUCAUAAAGUGCGUCGUAGUCCGGAUUGGAGUCUGCAACUCGACUCCAUGAAGUCGGAAUCGCUAGUAAUCGUAGAUCAGAAUGCUACGGUGAAUACGUUCCCGGGCCUUGUACACACCGCCCGUCACACCAUGGGAGUGGGUUGCAAAAGAAGUAGGUAGCUUAACCUUCGGGAGGGCGCUUACCACUUUGUGAUUCAUGACUGGGGUGAAGUCGUAACAAGGUAACCGUAGGGGAACCUGC